ACUUCACUAACAGAGAAAAGAGAUGGAGAAGAUCAGAUCUGAGAGACAAGUUCAAAACUAUGUGUGUCUGUGGCAGCUGAACCAGCAGGAGUGUUCAUGCUAGGGGCUUCUUGGAGAGAAGGAAACUGCCCCAGGGGUCCUCAGAUCUUUGCAUGGGACACCAAAUUGAGCAGUGUUUUAUAACCUGUAAUUUCACAUGCUCAGUUUGCUCAGUGGGGCCUGCAGCAGGGAUUUUCACCAUGGCACCACCCUCCCUGCCCACCCUAGGACAACAAGUGCCUUAAGAUGCACAGGAGGGGCCACAGUCCUCCACCUCAGCAGUGCAGUUCAGAGCACAGCCUAUUAAGCUAUGAGGUUUAAGGCUUCCACUAAAUCCAGAAGUGUUUCAGUCCCUGUUUGAUAGAUCACUUUAAGGUAGAUUGUUUCCUCUCUAGCUCCCUCAUGAUGGAUCAUGAUUGUGUGCUGCUGUGGAUCUGCCUAAUGGAAGGACAGGAGAUAGACCAGGGUGUACAUUACCAAUUAGAUAGGAAACAAACCUGCAGCUGGCAGAGAUUUUAAGGAAAAGAGAGAAUUAAACAUGAUCUCCAGCAGGGCUGGACAUAAACAUUAAGGGUUUGAUUGCAAGAAGUGAGGAGUAUUUGAAACCCUUCAUGCUCAAAGUCUUUGCCAGAAGUGGAUGGUCAGAGGCACUGCUUGAGGAAGGCUGACUGUAGAGUAAGAGGUGAUCCAAAUUGCCACUGCCUGACAGCAGAUGAGAUGUUCAAGGAGACUCUGCAACUACUCCAAAUGCAGAACAAGAAAGAUGAUGUUUAGCUCUGGACUCAGCCCACAGCCAUGGUCUCUGCUGGAGGACUGUGACCAACAUGAGCCAAUCUCUUGGCAAUUAUUUUGAGGACAUUCCCCCAGGGGCUGUGAGCAUCAGUCAUUUACCUUCUCUCAGGGACAUUAAGGAUUGAUUAUCCAUGCAGGGCAGCACCAGCUGUGUCUCACGGCAGAGCUGUCAGAGCUGAUGAG